ACCAAGGGAUUGAAAGUCUUUGAAAACAACAAAGGCCAAAAUAUUUCAAUAGAUAGUACAACUUCAUGCACGCUUAUGCACCUUCUUUCUUCGAAAAGCCAGAUCAAAACCCAUCACAGAAAAAACUCAUUUCUUCCUCAUUAUUGCCUAGUCAAAACCUAGCUAUGAUCUCUUCUUCAAAUCUCAGCCAGAAUUUGAUCCAUUUCCUUGUGCUUUAUCUUUGCUCUAUAUAUAGCCUCUAGGGUUUCUCAGAGGCCUUGUUCCAUAGCCAUUUUGGCAUUCUGUCCACCUCCAUUAAAUUUGUUGUUUUGGAAUCUCCCAAAAAGGUAGCAAUUGGAGGUGGCCAUUAGGCCAAACGGGCUCUGUGAAUCUGUCUCUAAGAAACCCACUUGUGGGCUUGAUUAUCUUUCAUAUCUCUUCUGAACAAUUAUCUUCUUCCACAUACACAUAUCUCACUGAGUCAGAUACUAAUUACGUACGCUUGUGAUACAGUCGAAAGGUCUUUGUACAUGAAGGACAUCAAACACAUAAUUCCUUACUAAAUAGAUCAUAUCAUACACAUGUUAAUUGAGUUAUAUACCAUGUCUCCUUUAAUUCUGGUCUCGGUAUGCACUCUGCAACUUCUUAUAUAUGUGCCUCAGUCUGAUGGGUUUAUUUUGCAUUUUUGCAGGUUAGUAUUCCUACUCCUACGUAGUUAUCAGAAACAUGUCCCUUUUCUCUGAUGAAAAUACCAAACUGAAUUGCAACAAGUAGAAUACUUGAUGAAAACAACCAUAUGCUUUGAAGGGUUGCACCUUUUCACAAGUUUAAACUUAAAGCUUUGUGGAUAAUUGCAUGCGCCUCCACUUGUUGAAAAUCCACUGGCUACCAGAAAUACUUUGAGACCCUUUGUAGCAUUGGAUUCCUAGAAGCAUUAGAGUAUGAUUAAUUUAGACUUAGCAAUAUUGCAACAUUAUGAGUUGUAGUGUUUCAAAUGGAAAACCCUAACUUAUCCACACACAGCAUAAUGCACUCACGCAGCUAGCACCACCACCACCAACCAAAAAGUCUAUUAUGUCAGCUUCAUAAAAUCUUUGUAAAUGGGAGAGGAAUCUAUCAGUGCCCUUUGGAGCUGACACAUAUCAGUCAUCAGAUGAUGCCACAAUAUAAUGAAUCAGUGUUCAGGAUUUCAAAGAAGAAAUAAUCAGUUUUAAUUUCUCA